GACUGCGUAGCUCAGUUGGAAGAGCAUUGGGCUAGUAUUCCAAAGGUCGUAGGUUCAAAUCCUACCGUGGCCG
rnacentral:tRNA from 1 species